rnacentral:rRNA from 1 species
GUUUGAUCCUGGCUCAGGACGAACGCUGGCGGCGCGCCUAACACAUGCAAGUCGAACGAGCGAGAGAGAGCUUGCUUUCUCGAGCGAGUGGCGAACGGGUGAGUAACGCGUGAGGAACCUGCCUCAAAGAGGGGGACAACAGUUGGAAACGACUGCUAAUACCGCAUAAGCCCACAGCUCGGCAUCGAGCAGAGGGAAAAGGAGCAAUCCGCUUUGAGAUGGCCUCGCGUCCGAUUAGCUAGUUGGUGAGGUAACGGCCCACCAAGGCGACGAUCGGUAGCCGGACUGAGAGGUUGAACGGCCACAUUGGGACUGAGACACGGCCCAGACUCCUACGGGAGGCAGCAGUGGGGAAUAUUGCACAAUGGGGGAAACCCUGAUGCAGCGACGCCGCGUGGAGGAAGAAGGUCUUCGGAUUGUAAACUCCUGUUGUUGAGGAAGAUAAUGACGGUACUCAACAAGGAAGUGACGGCUAACUACGUGCCAGCAGCCGCGGUAAAACGUAGGUCACAAGCGUUGUCCGGAAUUACUGGGUGUAAAGGGAGCGCAGGCGGGAAGACAAGUUGGAAGUGAAAUCUAUGGGCUCAACCCAUAAACUGCUUUCAAAACUGUUUUUCUUGAGUAGUGCAGAGGUAGGCGGAAUUCCCGGUGUAGCGGUGGAAUGCGUAGAUAUCGGGAGGAACACCAGUGGCGAAGGCGGCCUACUGGGCACCAACUGACGCUGAGGCUCGAAAGUGUGGGUAGCAAACAGGAUUAGAUACCCUGGUAGUCCACACCGUAAACGAUGAUUACUAGGUGUUGGAGGAUUGACCCCUUCAGUGCCGCAGUUAACACAAUAAGUAAUCCACCUGGGGAGUACGACCGCAAGGUUGAAACUCAAAGGAAUUGACGGGGGCCCGCACAAGCAGUGGAGUAUGUGGUUUAAUUCGACGCAACGCGAAGAACCUUACCAAGUCUUGACAUCCCUUGACAGGCAUAGAAAUAUGUUUUCUCUUCGGAGCAAGGAGACAGGUGGUGCAUGGUUGUCGUCAGCUCGUGUCGUGAGAUGUUGGGUUAAG